AAAGAGCAGAAGCUUAAAGGCUUCCAAAGGGCUGGAAACUAGGCUUUGGAAGAGGGGCUUUAUGAAUGAAUUGUGCCCCCACCCAAAGGAUGCAGAACUAACAGAUACAAGGGAUCAACUGGCCUUCAGAGAUGGCAUCUUGAAGAAAUGUCUUCAGGGACAGGAAGAUAGCUCCACAGGCUCCAGCGUGCCACUGAGGCAGACCCUAUGAGAGUCAGCCCGUCAGGACACAAUGCACGACGGAGAAGGAUGAAGAGAGGACCAGGAAGAGUUUGAGAAACAUUCGAAUGAUGCCCACUGCUGCUUCUCAUGGGAAACAAAGGAUGCUGGGCAGAUCUCCUAUCAGGAGCCAUUGAAGAGAUUUAAAACACCUCGGGGCCUCUGAGCACGUCUUCAACUUCUCUUAGGAAACUACAUGACUGAGAAGGUGUUCGCUAUUAGUUUUAUGGAAGCACAAUAGUUAAGAUGCACUCAGUCAAGUUUUAACAUACACAUACACACAUACAUGUAGCAGGACUUUCUUUGUACUACCAGCUCCCAGAUAAUGACAUGGAGACUUCUUAAGAAUGAAAGCUUGGCUUUAGCUUAGACUUGUUCCCAACUAGCUUUACCUCUCCUUCAUACUGUACAUCUGACUUACUUUGAAUCUCUCUGGUGAAUCCUGCCUCUCUUCUUCCCAGAGUUCCUACUUCUUUCCGGAAGUC